rnacentral:rRNA from 1 species
GCGCCACCCCGUCGUAGUGCCAGCGGUUCGGCCGGGCACUCUAACGGGACUGCCCGCGAAAGCGGGAGGAAGGAGGGGACGACGUCUGGUCAGCAUGGCCCUUACGGCCUGGGCGACACACGUGCUACAAUGCCCACUACAAAGCGAUGCCGCCCGGCAACGGGGAGCUAAUCGCAAAAGGUGGGCCCAGUUCGGAUUGGGGUCUGCAACCCGACCCCAUGAAGCCGGAAUCGCUAGUAAUCGCGGAUCAGCCAUGCCGCGGUGAAUACGUUCCCGGGCCUU